GGUCAAGAUGAACGCUAGCUACAGGCUUAACACAUGCAAGUCGAGGGGCAGCAUUUGAAAGCUUGCUUCAAAGAUGGCGACCGGCGCACGGGUGAGUAACGCGUAUCCAACCUUCCCCUUAGUAGGGCAUAGCCCGGCGAAAGUCGGAUUAAUACCCUAUGUUUUCCGUUGAGGACAUCUGAAGUGGAACAAAGAUUUAUCGCUAAGGGAUGGGGAUGCGUCUGAUUAGGUAGUCGGCGGGGUAACGGCCCACCGAGCCAACGAUCAGUAGGGGUUCUGAGAGGAAGGUCCCCCACAUUGGUACUGAGACACGGACCAAACUCCUACGGGAGGCAGCAGUGAGGAAUAUUGGUCAAUGGGCGUGAGCCUGAACCAGCCAAGUAGCGUGCAGGAAUGACGGCCCUAUGGGUUGUAAACUGCUUUUGCAGGGGAAUAAAGUGAGGCACGUGUGCCUUUUUGUAUGUACCCUGAGAAUAAGGACCGGCUAAUUCCGUGCCAGCAGCAGC
rnacentral:rRNA from 1 species